rnacentral:rRNA from 1 species
CUGGGGGAUCUUGCGCAUGGGCGAAGCCUGAGCAGCGACGCCGCGUGAGGGAUGACGGCCUUCGGGUUGUAAACCUCUUUCAGCUCCGACGAAGCGGAAGUGACGGUAGGAGCAGAAGAAGCACCGGCCAACUACGUGCCAGCAGCCGCGGUAAUACGUAGGGUGCAAGCGUUGUCCGGAAUUAUUGGGCGUAAAGAGCUCGUAGGCGGUCUGUCGCGUCGGCUGUGAAAACUCGGGGCUCAACUCCGAGCUUGCAGUCGAUACGGGCAGGCUAGAGUUCGGCAGGGGAGACUGGAAUUCCUGGUGUAGCGGUGAAAUGCGCAGAUAUCAGGAGGAACACCGGUGGCGAAGGCGGGUCUCUGGGCCGAUACUGACGCUGAGGAGCGAAAGCGUGGGGAGCGAACAGGAUUAGAUACCCUGGUAGUCCACGCCGUAAACGUUGGGCGCUAGGUGUGGGAUCCCUUCCACGGGUUCCGUGCCGCAGCUAACGCAUUAAGCGCCCCGCCUGGGGAGUACGGCCGCAAG